AUUCUCCUAGACAAACAUGUAUAGAAAUCCCAGCACUGGAGAGUUGAUGAGAAAGUGGGCAGAUCGGCUCUAUUCACAGCUGGGGGAAACUGACCACUUUAACAAAAGGAAGAAUGCUCAGGUAACAUCUAGCCCAAAGGUCGCUCAGGAAUGUUCAAAGCACUCAGGAGAGAGUGAAGUAUCCCAUCUUUGGGACACACAAGUCCCACUCAGCAUCCAUUGAAAGCGCAGCACCAAAAGCAUUGAGAUGGUGGCAGGACCUCAUUUUCCCUCUUCUCUAUUCCCUUACUCUUUCUCCAGCACAGAAGAAGCCUUGGAAGAGCCUCCAAGACAAUGUUGAAAAGUUGGCCCUGCAGCCAGCUUCAGCAGGGCAGUCCUGCAUAGCUGCCACUUCUACCGAGGACCACCCUCUCCAGGUUCCACGCAAGCUCAUGGUGGCUGCUCCAGCCCAGCAGACCCACUUCCUGGGAGUCAUCACCCACUUGCAUCUUACUGUGGCUCUUCUUCUGUGUCCCCCAGUCAUCUGCCUACACAGAGAGAGCACAGCCACUGAAGCCUGAGACUCACGAAAGACGCCUGUGCUUUGAGGGGCUGCAGGGGGCUGCUUCCCAGGCAAACUUCAUUGCAGAAUUCUGAUGUCCCUGUCUGCUUCCCACUCAGGGAGUUAAUGGGACUCCACAACAGGACUCCCAGAAGUUCUCCCUGCCUGCAUGUGAUGAAGAGUGCUGAGUGAUAGAUUUGAAAUUGGACCCCUGACAUCAUGAAUAGCAGAAGUUAAUAUCUAAUGCAGCCAAAAUGCUGCACAGCUUCCUGGAACCCUUAGCACCAAAGACCACCAUGCACUGAGGAGCCACCUGCAGCUCUCCACACCAUGAAGUGCAUAUGUACCCCUCCUCUCCGCAUCUCGCAUGACCCAGCCCAUGGUGCUAAACUGACUGAGCAAGAAGCAUCCAGAGCCUCUUCUGCUGGACGCAUGGAACACACUCUCAAGAGAUGCAGCCCAAAAUAGGACUCUAUGGUCAAUGAAAUGGAAUGGGAAAUGCUGCACCGUGUAUCCCCUUUCUAAGGAUCCAUGAUGUUUAUUGUUGUUGUUGUUGUUAGUGAAACCUUUUAAACAACCUUCAGGAAAAUCAUCCCUGUUUUUCGCAAACUUUCUAACCUUUCCCCAUG
rnacentral:lncRNA from 1 species